GGGAGGUAGUGACAAUAAAUAACAAUACGGGGUUCUUUCGGAUUUCGUAAUUGGAAUGAGUACAAUUUAAAUCUCUUAACGAGGAACAAUUGGAGGGCAAGUCUGGUGCCAGCAGCCGCGGUAAUUCCAGCUCCAAUAGCGUAUAUUAAAGUUGUUGCAGUUAAAAAGCUCGUAGUUGAAUUUCGGGGUUAGCAGGUCGGUCGUGCCAUCGGUAUGAACUGGCCUCGCUGAUCCCUCCCUCUUGACGAACUGUGAUGCCAUUAAUUUGGUGUCGCAGGGAAUCAGGACUGUUACUUUGAAAAAUUAGAGUGUUUAAAGCAGGCUCACGCUUGAAUACAUUAGCAUGGAAUAAUGAAAUAGGACGUUUGAUUCUAUUUUGUUGGUUUCUAGGAUCGACGUAAUGAUUAAUAGGGAUAGUUGGG
rnacentral:rRNA from 1 species